AUUGAACGCUGGCGGCAGGCCUAACACAUGCAAGUCGAACGGUAACAGGAAGCAGCUUGCUGCUUCGCUGACGAGUGGCGGACGGGUGAGUAAUGCCUGGGAAACUGACUGAUGGAGGGGGAUAACUACUGGAAACGGUAGUUAAUACCGCAUAACGUCGAAAGACCAAAGAGGGGGACCUUCGGGCCUCUUUCCAUCGGAUGUGGCCAGCUGAGAUUAGCAAGUAGGUGGGGUAACGGCUCACCUAGGCGAAGGUCCCUAGCUGGUCUGAGAGGAUGACCAGCCACACUGGAACUGAGACACGGUUCAGACUCCUACGGGAGGCAGCAGUGGGGAAUAUUGCACAAUGGGCGCAAACCUGAUGCAGCCAUGCCGCGUGUAUGAAGAAGGCCUUCGGGGUGUAAAGUACUUUCAGCGGGGAGGAAGGUGUUGAGGUUAAUAACCUCAGCAAGUGACGUUACCCGCAGAAGAAGCACCGGCUAACUCCGUGCCAGCCGCCGCCGUAA
rnacentral:rRNA from 1 species